rnacentral:lncRNA from 1 species
GCGUUACAAUAGCUAAGCCGCCAACCGCCAGCGCAAUUUGGUAGCAAAACAACCCGGCUGCGAAACCCCCUCCCAACACCAACCCAUUGAGAAAGUUGCACUAGUGGCCGAUAGUGCUGGCAGUUACCUGUGUUGCACCGUUAACGAAUCCUAGGACCUCAAGGGCCCCGGCAAGGGCCGAAGAGCCACACGAGGCCCGCUGCGACAAAACCAGGGACCGCUGCAUUGUGGCAACCCCCGGGAUUGCCCUGUGUGGGUGGGGGAUACGACGAGGCACAGACGAUUGAUGAGAAUAAGAACAUAGACGGGUACUCCAAGAUUAGACCAAUAAUACAGGACGAUCAGUAAGAUACUGACCCGUUGGUGGGUGAGGGGAAACUAGAGGACACUGUCCCAGCAGCGGGACACACCUCAUGGUGAUAGCCAGAACAGCGGCAGUUAGAGAAGCAAUGCGCCUGUGGGACCCAAGUAGAAGCUUUUGGAGUCCCCUGCCGUAUUGUGGUCCGGCACAUGCAUGCAUGCGCCCUGCUUCCACGCACCACGGCAGUUCCUUCGCAAUAACUUGCGUAUCGAUACACUCAUACUUCGCUUCGAGAAGUCAAAGCUGCACCAGAUCCCUAAAAGGGGUUAGUAGUGGAGGGGUUUUGCGGCGCCUAAUAGCAUUCUGUAGUAUCCAACCUUGAUGACCUUGGACUCUUGGUUGCAUGAAAAUUUGGCAAACUUGGCAACUGCAAUCAACAUCCAGUGCUUCCGACAGGUACCUUCUAUAAACAGGACAAAAGGCAGCACGCGGAAACACCAUAGUUCAGCUACAGCGAGCCGUGGGCCAGCUGCAGUAGCUGCAAUGCCCAGGAUUUGCAGAACUAACAUGUAACAUGAUCAAGAACCGGUAAUAACGUCAGAGCUGGCGUUGUCGCGGAGAACCAACGCAGGAGGAAUUCUUACAGUUUCGGCCAAACGCCAUGCAUUCUGCCAGGCGAAUAUACAUUUGUGUUAAAAUGUGAUAUUUGGAUGUUGCAUCGAAAGCGAGGCGUCGGAGUUGCUCACGGAGUUGAUUCUGUUGGAGACCUUACCCUCAGGCAGGACACUCAACACCCUUCCAGGCCACAAGUAAAAAUUUGGUACAAACUGACGCAGCUCUUCUG